rnacentral:misc_RNA from 4 species
CCGAGUGGCCCAAGUCCGCAAGGACCGGUUACCCGACCUCUUGUCAUUUGCUCUGGGGUCGCCGGCAAGGUUCGGCCCGCACUUCCUCCAUGUGGGGUUGGGCGGGUCGCGCCGAACUGGCGGCCUCAGCUUCGAUAACUUCGGCGGAAGUGGUAGGUUCGACCUGCCCGCCGCCGGCCGUAUUCAACCUGCAAGUAAUUUUGAAGUCUGAUUUGAAUCAUAAUGAAAAGCA